CAGUAGCCACGGGAAUACGAAGGGGGCUAGCGUUGUUCGGAAUUACUGGGCGUAAAGCGCACGUAGGCGGACAUUUAAGUCAGGGGUGAAAUCCCGGGGCUCAACCCCGGAACUGCCUUUGAUACUGGGUGUCUAGAGUAUGGAAGAGGUGAGUGGAAUUCCGAGUGUAGAGGUGAAAUUCGUAGAUAUUCGGAGGAACACCAGUGGCGAAGGCGGCUCACUGGUCCAUUACUGACGCUGAGGUGCGAAAGCGUGGGGAGCAAACAGGAUUAGAUACCCCCGUAGUCCCUGUCUCUUAUAC
rnacentral:rRNA from 1 species